rnacentral:lncRNA from 1 species
UGCUUCUCUAGGAAAGACCUCUUUAUGUGAUCAGACACUAUCCCCUUAUGAGGUUUGGCAGAUUAAGCAUAGCCAUUCAUGAUGCUUGGGCCAAAGUACUUUUCCUUCAGUCCUCUGAAGAAGGACCAGAUGGCCUUGUCAUUGCUAAUCAAUGGAUUACCAUGCUCUGGCACACACCGAGGACUCUCUGCUUUGAGCCAAUUAAAGUCAAAAACAGAGUCAGAGCUGAAAUCAUGGUGGCUAAUUGUGAUGUACAUAAAAAGAAGAGGAUGGAUGGGAGAGAUAUUGAGGAGGAAACAGAUUUAAUUCAAGUUUCCCCCAUGGUCUAGCUACUCUGUCACAGAUGGUGAGACUCCUUGGCCUUGAAAUCACCUGGUGGCAGCCUGAUGAAAUAAUUAUCACAAGUGGGGAAUGAACUGAGAUUUCAAAUCAGUGAUUUCAGAGGAGACUCAUGCUUUCUUGAUAUUAAAAUCCUACUGCAAAAUCCAGCUCAGCCACACCGAGAGUACUGAAAAUGUAGUUUCUUUUGUCAUGUAAUAUAAUGCACAUGUGGACAAAGAAUGGUUUAAAGACCUGGGGAAAUCUAACCUGAACCCAAGAAGAUUUGUUUGAGGUAGGAGUUUCUAAAGGAAUUCAAAUAUUUGAAAGGCACUCACAUGGAAGAGGAAGGAAAUGUU